CAAGUUAUUAAGGGUGCAGGGCGGAUGCCUUGGCACUAGGAGCCGAUGAAGGACGUGAUAAGCUGCGAUAAGCUUCGGGGAGUUGCACGUAAACUUUGAUCCGAAGAUUUCCGAAUGAGGAAACUCACUUAGAGUAAUGUCUAAGUAUCAUUAAGUGAAUACAUAGCUUAAUGAGGGGAACUCAGGGAACUGAAACAUCUAAGUACCUGAAGGAAGAGAAAGAAAUUCGAUUCCGUAAGUAGCGGACGAGCGAACGCGGAUUAGCCCAAACCAAUAAAGUUUUCUUUAUUGGGGUUGCGGACAUAUCAUAACGAAGAGGUAUCGUAAUUGAAGAGGUUUGGAAAGACCCACCACAGAAGGUAAUAGUCCUGUAUGUUAAACGAGAAGUACUUUAGAUAUGAUCCAGAGUACCACGGGACACGUGAAACCCUGUGGGAAGCAGGAGGGACCACCCUCCAAGGCUAAAUACUACCUAGUGACCGAUAGCGUAUAGUACCGUGAGGGAAAGGUGAAAAGAACCCCGGGAGGGGAGUGAAAUAGAACCUGAAACCCUGCACUUACAAGCUGUGGAAGCACAUUUCUUGUGUGACCGCGUACUUUUUGUAGAACGGGCCAACGAGUUACGUUAAGUAGCAAGGUUAAGCACUUAAGGUGCGGAGCCGUAGCGAAAGCGAGUUUUAACUGAGCGUUCAGUUACUUGACGUAGACCCGAAACCGGGCGACCUACCCAUGAGCAGGAUGAAGCGAAAGUAAAAUUUCGUGGAGGUCCGAACCCACGAGCGUUGAAAAGACUCGGGGAGUGACUUGUGGGUAGCGGUGAAAUUCCAAUCGAGCCCGGAGAUAGCUGGUUCUCCCCGAAAUAGCUUUAGGGCUAGCCUCAAGGUGAGAGAUACGGAGGUAGAGCACUGAAUGUCCUAGGGGGUAUUGCACCUACCGAAGACUAUCAAACUCCGAAUGCCGUCAUCUAUACUUGGGAGUCAGACUGUGGGUGAUAAGAUUCAUAGUCGAAAGGGCAACAGCCCAGAUCGUCAGCUAAGGUCCCUAAAUGUAAGUUAAGUGGUAAAGGAUGUGGGAUUGCACAGACAACCAGGAUGUUGGCUUAGAAGCAGCCACUCAUUCAAAGAGUGCGUAAUAGCUCACUGGUCGAGUGAUCCUGCGCCGAAGAUUUCCGGGGCUAAAACUUACUACCGAAGCUACGGCAUCAGUAAUGAUGGGUAGGGGAGCUUCCCAUACGGGUUGAAGCAUGACCGUAAGGACAUGUGGACAGUAUGGGAGUGAGAAUGUUGGCAUGAGUAGCGAGAUGUGGGUGAGAAUCCCACAGGCCGUAAACCCAAGGUUUCCAGGGGAAGGUUCGUCCGCCCUGGGUUAGUCGGGACCUAAGCUGAGGCCGAAAGGCGUAGGUGAUGGACAACAGGUUGAUAUUCCUGUACUACCGAUAACCGUUUGAGAGAUGGGAUGACACAGUAGGAUAAGCUAAGCACACUGUUGGUUAUGUGUGCCCAAGCAUUGAGGCAGUCAAAGUAGGCAAAUCCGCUUUGAUAAUGCUGGGAUGUGAUGGGGAGCGAAAUUUAGUAGCGAAGUAGCUGAUUUCACACUGUCAAGAAAAGUCUCUAUCGAGGUUAAAGGUACCCGUACCGCAAACCGACACAGGUGGGUGAGGAGAGUAUCCUAAGGCCAGCGAGAGAACUGUUGUUAAGGAACUCGGCAAAAUGACCCCGUAACUUAGGGAUAAGGGGUGCCACCAUCAGGUGGCCGCAGAGAAUAGGCCCAAGCGACUGUUUACCAAAAACAUAGGUUUCUGCUAAGUCGCAAGACGAUGUAUAGGAGCUGACGCCUGCCCGGUGCUGGAAGGUUAAGGGGAUCUGUUAGAGCAAUCGAAGCAGUGAACUUAAGCCCCAGUAAACGGCGGCCGUAACUAUAACGGUCCUAAGGUAGCGAAAUUCCUUGUCGGGUAAGUUCCGACCCGCACGAAAGGCGUAACGAUUUGGGCACUGUCUCAACAACAGACUCGGUGAAAUUGUAGUUCCGGUGAAGAUGCCGGAUACCUGCGACAGGACGGAAAGACCCCAUGGAGCUUUACUGUAGCUUGACAUUGGGUCUUGGUACUACAUGUACAGGAUAGGUGGGAGGCUUUGAAACCAGGACGCCUAGUUUUGGCGGAGCCAUCCUUGGGAUACCACCCUUGUAGUACUGGGACUCUAACCAUAGGCCAUGAAUCUGGUCUUGGGACACUGUCAGGUGGGCAGUUUGACUGGGCGGUCGCCUCCCAAAAGGUAACGGAGGCGCUCAAAGGUUCUCUCAGUACGGUCGGAAAUCGUACGUAGAGUGUAAAGGCAAAAGAGAGCUUGAUUGCAAGACAUACAGGUCGAGCAAGGAUGAAAAUCGGACUUAGUGAUCCGGUGGUUCUGCGUGGAAGGGCCAUCGCUCAACGGAUAAAAGCUACCCUGGGGAUAACAGGCUUAUCUCCCCCAAGAGUCCACAUCGACGGGGAGGUUUGGCACCUCGAUGUCGGCUCAUCACAUCCUGGGGCUGUAGUAGGUCCCAAGGGUUGGGCUGUUCGCCCAUUAAAGUGGUACGCGAGCUGGGUCCAGAACGUCGUGAGACAGUUCGGUCCCUAUCCGUCGCAGGCGUAGGAAAUUUGAGAAGACCUGUCCUUAGUACGAGAGGACCGGGAUGGACGUACCUCUGGUGUACCAGUUGUUCUGCCAAGGGCAUGGCUGGGUAGCUAUGUACGGAAUGGAUAAGCGCUGAAAGCAUCUAAGCGCGAAGCCAACUUCAAGAUAAGAUUUCCCACCGCAAGGGUAAGACCCCAGAAAGACUAUCUGGUUGAUAGGUCGAAGGUGUAAGUGCAGCAAUGUAUUUAGCUUAUCGAUACUAAUAGGUCGAGGACUUGACCA
rnacentral:rRNA from 1 species